GUAUGUAGCAAGGUUAAGUACUUAAGGUACGGAGCCGAAGGGAAACCGAGUCUGAAUAGGGCGACUAGUUGCAUGCCGUAGACCCGAAACCGGGUGACCUAUCCAUGGCCAGGUUGAAGCGAGGGUAAAACCUCGUGGAGGACCGAACCACGUUGCUGUUGAAAAAGCAUGGGAUGAGCUGUGGAUAGCGGAGAAAUUCCAAUCGAACCCGGAGAUAGCUGGUUCUCUCCGAAAUAGCUUUAGGGCUAGCGUCGAGGAUGAGUAGUGGAGGUAGAGCACUGAAUGGGCUAGGGGGCAUAGCGCUUACCGAACCUUAUCAAACUCCGAAUGCCACAUACUUUGAGCUCGGCAGUCAGACUACGAAUGAUAAGAGCCGUGGUCAAAAGGGAAACAGCCCAGAUCGUCAGCUAAGGUCCCAAAGUGUAAGUUAAGUGGGAAAGGAUGUGAGAUUUCUAAGACAACUAGGAUGUUGGCUUAGAAGCAGCCAUUCAUUAAAAGAGUGCGUAAUAGCUCACUAGUCGAGAGAUCUUGCGCCGAAAAUGUAACGGGGCUAAACUUACCACCGAAGCUACGGGCUUGAACUUAUGUUCAAGCGGUAGGAGAGCGU
rnacentral:rRNA from 1 species